rnacentral:rRNA from 1 species
UACGUAGGGUGCAAGCGUUGUCCGGAAUUAUUGGGCGUAAAGAGCUCGUAGGCGGUGUGUCACGUCGGCCGUGAAAACCUGCAGCUUAACUGUGGGCGUGCGGUCGAUACGGGCAUCACUGGAGUUCGGCAGGGGAGACUGGGAAUUCCUGGUGUAGCGGUGAAAUGCGCAGAUAUCAGGAGGAACACCGGUGGCGAAGGCGGGUCUCUGGGCCGAUACUGACGCUGAGGAGCGAAAGCGUGGGGAGCAAACAGG